rnacentral:rRNA from 1 species
GCUUACCGACAACUUUUUCUCGAGCCGCGACCGGACGUCCGUGCGAAGGUAGCGUAAUCACUUGUUCUUUAAAUGAGGACUAGUAUGAAUGGCACCACGAGGGUUAUACUGUCUCCUCUUUCUAAUCAGUGAAACUAAUCUCCCCGUGAAGAAGCGGGGAUAGACCUAUAAGACGAGAAGACCCUAUGGAGCUUUAAACUUCUCUUCAAACGCCAGACCUCCCUUCCACAAGUCAUAGACUUUUUUAUACUAACCAUCGGCGCCAUGAAGAUGACUUUUAGGUUGGGGUGACCAUGGAGCAUAAAAAAACCUCCACGCUGAACUAGGCCUCCAAGCCUUGAGCCAAGGGCCACGACCCGCCGCACUAAUAAACUAACACCAAUUGACCCAAAUUUAUUUGAUCAACGAACCAAGUUACCCUAGGGAUAACAGCGCAAUCCACUUCAAGAGUUCUUAUCGACAAGUGGGUUUACGACCUCGAUGUUGGAUCAGGGUAUCCCAGUGGUGCAGCCGCUACUAAUGGUUCGUUUGUUCAACGAUUAAAACCCUACGUGA